rnacentral:rRNA from 1 species
GUUGAACGCUGGCGGCAUGCUUUACACAUGCAAGUCGAACGGUAACAGGUUAAGCUGACGAGUGGCGAACGGGUGAGUAAUGCAUGGGAAUGUGCCCGGUCGUGGGGGAUAACGCAGCGAAAGUUGCGCUAAUACCGCAUACGAUCUGAGGAUGAAAGCGGGGGACCGAAAGGCCGCGCGCGCUCGGAGCUGCCGAUGUGAGAUUAGGUAGUAGGUGGGGUAAAGGCUCACCUAGACAACGAUCUGUAGCUGGUCUGAGAGGACGACCAGCCACACUGGGACUGAGACACGGCCCAGACUCCUACGGGAGGCAGCAGUGGGGAAUUUUGGACAAUGGGCGAAAGCCUGAUCCAGCAAUGCCGCGUGCAGGAAGAAGGCCUUCGGGUUGUAAACUGCUUUUGUCCGGAGCGAAAAGAUCUCCUCUAAUACAGGGGGCUCAUGACGGUACCGUAAGAAUAAGCACCGGCUAACUACGUGCCAGCCGCCGCGGUAA